GUGUGUGUGGAAGGAGAGAAGGUCAGCACUCCCCUGACUAGGGUAGAAGAGCCCUUGGGUCUGACAACACACACGUGAUCCAAGCCCGGCCACCUGCCUCCGAGUGUCUGACCUUGUUUUAUU